rnacentral:rRNA from 1 species
AAGGGGCUUCGGCCCUGAGUAGAGUGGCGAACGGGUGAGUAACACGUGGGUGAUCUACCUUCGAGUGGGGGAUAACCUUCCGAAAGGAGGGCUAAUACCGCAUGACGUUCUGGGUUUGAAGACCUGGAAACCAAAGUCGGGGACCGCAAGGCCUGACGCUUGGAGAGGAGCCCGCGUCUGAUUAGCUAGUUGGCGGGGUAAUGGCCCACCAAGGCGACGAUCAGUAGCCGGCCUGAGAGGGCGGACGGCCACACUGGGACUGAGACACGGCCCAGACUCCUACGGGAGGCAGCAGUGGGGAAUUGUUCGCAAUGGGCGCAAGCCUGACGACGCAACGCCGCGUGGAGGAUGAAGGUCUUCGGA